GGAUCCAGACUUUGAUCCUGGCUCAGGACGAACGCUGGCGGCGCGCCUAACACAUGCAAGUCGAACGAGCGAGAGAGAGCUUGCUUUCUCAAGCGAGUGGCGAACGGGUGAGUAACGCGUGAGGAACCUGCCUCAAAGAGGGGGACAACAGUUGGAAACGACUGCUAAUACCGCAUAAGCCCACGGGUCGGCAUCGACCAGAGGGAAAAGGAGCAAUCCGCUUUGAGAUGGCCUCGCGUCCGAUUAGCUAGUUGGUGAGGUAAUGGCCCACCAAGGCAACGAUCGGUAGCCGGACUGAGAGGUUGAACGGCCACAUUGGGACUGAGACACGGCCCAGACUCCUACGGGAGGCAGCAGUGGGGAAUAUUGCACAAUGGGGGAAACCCUGAUGCAGCGACGCCGCGUGGAGGAAGAAGGUCUUCGGAUUGUAAACUCCUGUUGUUGGGGAAGAUAAUGACGGUACCCAACAAGGAAGUGACGGCUAACUACGUGCCAGCAGCCGCGGUAAAACGUAGGUCACAAGCGUUGUCCGGAAUACUGGGUGUAAAGGGAGCGCAGGCGGGAAGACAAGUUGGAAGUGAAAUCUAUGGGCUCAACCCAUAAACUGCUUUCAAAACUGUUUUUCUUGAGUAGUGCAGAGGUAGGCGGAAUUCCCGGUGUAGCGGUGGAAUGCGUAGAUAUCGGGAGGAACACCAGUGGCGAAGGCGGCCUACUGGGCACCAACUGACGCUGAGGCUCGAAAGUGUGGGUAGCAAACAGGAUUAGAUACCCUGGUAGUCCACACCGUAAACGAUGAUUACUAGGUGUUGGAGGAUUGACCCCUUCAGUGCCGCAGUUAACACAAUAAGUAAUCCACCCGGGGAGUACGACCGCAAGGUUGCAACUCAA
rnacentral:rRNA from 1 species